rnacentral:rRNA from 1 species
UACGGGAGGCAGCGAGUGGGGAAUAUUGCACAAUGGGCGAAAGCCUGAUGCAGCUAUGCCGCGUGUAUGAAGAAGGCCUUAGGGUUGUAAAGUACUUUCAUCGGGGAGGAAAAACAAAACUAAUAAUUUUAUUUCUUGACGUUACCCGAAAAAGAAGCACCGGCUAACUCCGUGCCAGCAGCCGCGGUAAUACGGGAGGGUGCUAGCGUUAAUCAGAAUUACUGGGCGUAAAGAGCACGUAGGUGGUUUUUUAAGUCAGAUGUGAAAUCCCUGGGCUUAACCUAGGAACUGCAUUUUGAAACUGAAAUACUAGAGUAUCGUAGAGGGAGGUAGAAUUCUAGGUGUAGCGGUGAAAUGCGUAGAUAUCUGGAGGAAUACCUGUGGCGAAAGCGGCCUCCUAAACGAAUACUGACACUGAGGUGCGAAAGCGUGGGGAGCAAACAGGAUUAGAUACC